rnacentral:rRNA from 1 species
GUAUCAUGGCUCAGGAUGAACGCUAGCGGCAGGCUUAACACAUGCAAGUCGAGGGGCGAGCGGGGGUGGUAGCAAUACACUGCCGGCGACCGGCGCACGGGUGCGUAACGCGUAUGCAACCUACCCAUAACAGGGGCAUAACACUGAGAAAUUGGUAACUAAUUCCCCAUAACAUUCGAAGAGGCAUCUCUUUGGGUUGAAAACUCCGGUGGUUAAUGGUAUGGGCAUGCGGUUGUAUUAGCUAGUUGG